UGAUAGCGAUGAAACGAGAGGUUGCUGCCCGCAAUGUGGCAGGUUAUUCCGCGGAGCGAAUGUCAAGUUAGAAAACUGGCGACAA
rnacentral:ncRNA from 1 species